rnacentral:rRNA from 1 species
AACGAACGCUGGCGGCAGGCUUAACACAUGCAAGUCGAACGCCCCGCAAGGGGAGUGGCAGACGGGUGAGUAACGCGUGGGAAUCUACCCAGAACUUCGGAACAACUGAGGGAAACUUCAGCUAAUACCGGAUACGCCCUACGGGGGAAAGAUUUAUCGGUUCUGGAUGAGCCCGCGUUGGAUUAGCUAGUUGGUGAGGUAAAGGCUCACCAAGGCGACGAUCCAUAGCUGGUCUGAGAGGAUGAUCAGCCACACUGGGACUGAGACACGGCCCAGACUCCUACGGGAGGCAGCAGUGGGGAAUAUUGGACAAUGGGCGAAAGCCUGAUCCAGCCAUGCCGCGUGAGUGAUGAAGGCCUUAGGGUUGUAAAGCUCUUUCAGUGGGGAAGAUAAUGACGGUACCCACAGAAGAAGCCCCGGCUAACUUCGUGCCAGCCGCCGCCGUAACAC